UACGUAGGGGGGCUAGCGUUGUCCGGAAUCAUUGGGCGUAAAGCGCGUGUAGGCGGCCCGGUAAGUCCGCUGUGAAAGUCGAGGGCUCAACCCUCGAAAGCCGGUGGAUACUGUCGGGCUCGAGUGCGGGAGAGGCGAGUGGAAUUCCUGGUGUAGCGGUGAAAUGCGCAGAUAUCAGGAGGAACACCGAUUGCGAAGGCAGCUCGCUGGAACGUAACUGACGCUGAGACGCGAAAGCGUGGGGAGCAAACAGG
rnacentral:rRNA from 1 species